rnacentral:rRNA from 1 species
UACAGAGGGUGCGAGCGUUAAUCGGAAUUACUGGGCGUAAAGCGCGCGUAGGCGGCUUUUCAAGUCGAUUGUGAAAUCCCCGGGCUUAACCUGGGAACUGCAGUCGAGACUGUCUAGCUAGAGUAUGGGAAAGGGAAGUGGAAUUUCAGGUGUAGCGGUGAAAUGCGUAGAUAUCUGAAGGAACAUCAGUGGCGAAAGCGACUUCCUGGACCAAUACUGACGCUCAUGUGCGAAAGCGUGGGGAGCAAACAGG